rnacentral:lncRNA from 1 species
UACGCAGACGGUUCAGCUCAAUUCACAAACGUUUAGCCAGCACCUACGAGGUGCCAGGCAGUAUGCUGGCACCCAGGAGCAGAGAAGGGCUAGGAAGACGGAGAACGUGCCCUCGGCCUGGCCUGGAGGGGCAGAGUGUACCCAAGAGGGCCGCCAUACCCCAACCAUACCCCAGCCAUACUCCAGUCUCUUGUCUAACCCUCAUCUGGUCUAGGCUUUGGAAGUGAUGUUUGUCAUUCUCUUUGACCACUCAGACCCUAAGAAGUUGGAGGAAGUGCCUCCUCACCCCAUAUGUCCCUGUUUCCCACUGUGGAAUCCCAACAGCUGCUCUUCCAGACCCUGCUAGGGCCAGGGCAGAGGCACAGAGCCACAUUCCACCGAGGGGAUGCUGUGACCAGAGAGAAGGGCCCCUGAGCAGGCUGCAGGGGUGGGGGUGGCUGCAGGCACCGUGGCAUGGCAGGGGUUUCAGUGUCGAAGCCUCAGUGACGGUGGGGUGAGGUUGGAUGCCAGGGCCUGCUCCCAAGACAUAGGGGUCUCUGUGAUCCAGCCCUGCGGAGAUUUAGGAUAAUAUUCCUGAUAGUGCAGCUGCUGAAGGGUCUCAGGCCCUCCCAGUGACUCUGUGACUAGCUACAUAUCCUAGAAUAAAUUCCUUUUCUGCUUAAACUACUUGGAAGUGGUUGUAGGGGUGGUGGCUCAGCAGCAGGGCUGGUAGGGCCCUCAUCCUGUGACCACCUCACAUAGGGCUGCUGCACAAACCACAUCAAGGGGCGUGGGUCAGGGCCUGCCGCACCUGCACCCCUGCUCCCAACCCUGGAGCCGCCACAGGACUGAUAAGGAGCGGAGCGGAGCGGAGACAGCGGAGGGGUAUGUGGUGUGGACAGCACGCUGGCUCCCUCGGUUCCGUGCCUUCUCCCAGAACGGAAGGGGAGAGAAGGCGAGCAGGAAGUGAGGUGCGGGAGAGAAAGAGAGAGCGAUGGGAAAAGAGGACACUGGAAGGAACGGGGAUACUGGAAGGAAGAUCUACUCUUCCAGUCUGCAGGUGGCCCCGAGGAGCAGCUGUAGUAGGUCAUUGUAGGGGAUAAUUACAGGCUUACAGGGGG